rnacentral:lncRNA from 1 species
GAGGGUGGCCCAGGCUCUAUCGGAUGCCAUGGCUCAGGCAUCUAGCUUGUGGCAAACAGGCCCGAGCUGUGUGCGGCAGGCUGCCACAGCGACAGCAGCAAUGGGGGUCGCAGCAAGCUUAGGUUGUUUCUUCCCGCUCCAGCGCUUUGCCGCGCUCCAUCCGCCGCCGCCGCGUGGCCCGAACUCCCCACCCCAACCCCACACAAACAUAUGGAUCCACAAGUACAGUUUUUCCGUACUGCGAACAACCCCCGCCUGAGAAUAUGAGAACAGAGCCGCUUGGGCGUUGUGUCGCCUGGAGAUCAGACACCCAAUCUAGAGUAUAUGUGCGCUGGGAAACCUGUCGGGAAGGCUUGUUGCUGGCCGUGCGGGCCGAUGCGGCGUGAAUUCUCGUCGGGCACGUGAAUUCUCGUCGGGAAAUGCCGGGGUACAUAUUCUCGGACGCAAGACGUGGAGCCUUGAUUGCUGCGAUAAAUCAUGUACAAGCGGUGAGUGCUACCGACGCACCGUCGAGUGAGGGAGAAACUCCCGCCAGGCGGUUCGCUGGUUUCCGUCGCAAUGGAGAGGUUUACUCGUCGUCGAAAACUUGUCGAAAACAGGAGCUAAUAGUCCUAUAUGAUAAUAAUGGUGGCACCGAUAACAACAUUUCAGGUUUGAAUGCAGCUUCUUGUCAGUGGAAGGCUCGGAUUACGGUGUCUGGGGGGUCGUAGCGGGGAGGAAGUGGGGGAACAACGUGGGUGGAAGUACCGUAAAGGAUGAUUUUGAAACAUUGCCGCUUGUCACAAAACUAGACUAAGGCACAAUUGAAUAUCAAGGAGAAGGUCGUCGUGAAUCCUGAGCUCUCGACCCUUCUCAGCCUUUCGUUCGGCCGAGCCUAGUUAAGCUGCGCGGCGUAGCCGCGGACGCUGUGCGCCCGAAGCCCUCGAGGAGGCGAGAUCCUUGGCAUCGACAUGUCGUUUUCUCGAACCACGUGUUUUGCUCAGAGAACUAAGCAAGAUAAUUAUGAUCCUCGCGAUGCUGCAAAAGCGGUUGCAUAUAGGCCAUGCUUAGGCUAUACUGCUGGUCAAAAUGCAGCAGCGGGCAGGUAACAGCAGGCUAUAGGGAUAGAAUCUCAGGUCAAGAUAAAUCAUCAAUAUAAUGCUGUCGUUGUUGGCUUGAAGGAAUGUGCCCUUGUAUGAGUUUCAAGGAAAAUGAAGCCGCAAGGAUGCAGCACCGCAGUGUGAACAGGCCCAAAUUCUUGAAUGCAAUAGCAAAUGAAUGCGACUUAGGUUAGGAAUGGGCGUAUCCAUCCCGCAGUUCAGACGUACUUUGCUCCGUACAGGAGUUUCGACUACAACAAAGCUAUUGCUCUCCUUCCUCCAUCCGCUGACUUUGAAGCAUUUAAAAGGAAAGGUUUCAUACCGAAUGUUCAUAUGCAUCCAUGCAGUCGCAUUUCGAUGUACUGGGUGACACGAAAGCGAGAAGACGAAACGGCAAGGUCUGAACGUACAAUCAUGUGGAAACGUAUAUGUCAACUGUCACUGCUCGGCUGUCAGUUAGGAAGUCCUGUGAAGGAAAAAUUGAAAAAAGCUGAUGCCAUCAUCCAUAGCUGGAGGGUAUGACAAACUGCAUGCUGCGUAUAUGCGCUUCCAUCUGUUUACAGCUCUUUCACUGAGAACAUCGCGCAUGUCGGAAACCGCAGGCUGCAACGUCGAAACCUGUCGCCUACAAACCAGCACGCACCCUCGAAGUACACUGUCAUGAACUGUUCAGCGACGUGCCCGCUCCUUUCCGCGACAAUUCACCAGGGGGCGGAAGCACGUUACUGCUACAGUUCUCAAGUUUGCGAGAAUUACAUGACCAUUAGAGGGUGACCUAGCAAAUGGACAGCUGGGAAGCUUUGAGAGCAUCUGAGGGAAUGAGCGCAGUUGCAGUGGCAUUCUGUGUGCUCCAACUGCGACGGUGAGCAAUCGGCCGGCCAGCCGUUAGACAAACAUCCUUCGCCUUCGUCAUCCUUUGCCUCCUGCUCACCCCUGAUCGAUGGCCGUAGAAGAUGCACCUUUGCCCCGCACGCCUCUGGCUGAAUCCAGCGGUGAUUUGCUCGGCCACGCAGGUCCGCGCCGUCUCUCGCAUCCCGCGGCAGUUUUCCCCAGCUGCCGGCCCUCACUAAUGGAGGAAAGGAUAAGUGGAUACGAAUCCCAACUCGGAAUCCAUUAAGUGAAACCCACACUAUUUAGACCUUCUGACACACAGUGGCUCCCACCCCCCCCACACACACAAGGAGUUACCAAGCACGUACGAUUGCCUUCAACAUACCGCAAUGAGCAAUACGCACUUAUCCACCCUCAACCAAAAUCUUUCGGUGUUUGGAAUGUGCGUUGAUCGUUGAUGUGACUGACCAGACUGAGUGGAUUGCGCUUUGGGGCUCUCUUACCUGUGAAUCAAGGCGCGUCAAGGCGUGCUUGAGGGGCGCGGUAAUGGUAAGUCAGUGAAAGCCUGGUAAUGCCAGAUAAAGCUGGGGUUUGGGUAGGGCAUGGCAUGACACAGAGAGACGCAUUUACGCCGGUCCAGGCUCGUCGGGAAAUGUUUUGCCCGGCUACGUGGCCCGCCUGAAUCUGCACAUAACUUGCAUCUGUCCCAGCCAUAUUGAUGGCAUAUAAUUGAUAAGCCAGGCAAAACGAAGCAUCGAAGGAAAGCACACAUCCUCUAGGGCCGCUCCUCAUGAUCACUGGAAAUGACAGAGAUUGUACGGCAGCACUUGAAGUACCGGUAGAACACGCGGAUGGUGCGCUUAUGGGGGAUAGAGAGGCAUAUAGGGCGGCCUAGGGUUGAACUGAGCGUAUAUCCCUCUACGGAUGGAAGACCCAUGGUGGAAGCCGGCCUGUGUGUUCUCCUUUGCGUUGGGAUUUGCUCUGUUGGGCUGCUCCUUGGGCCUGGC